UGAAUAUGCCGAAUGGUUGAAUGCCCAGACUUCGCUUUGGGCAUUAUGAUUCCUCUUUUGUUAUUGAAUAGGAAGAUCUGAUGC